rnacentral:rRNA from 1 species
GCGUAGGAUCAUACUGUGUUGAAUGCAUCACAUGCCGUCAGGUCUGCGCAGUUAAACAACGUUUGGCCGCAUGAGUUCCUCGCUUGGUGACCACAAGGGAACGUUUAUUGUCGUUGCC